CGGGACGCAGCAGUGGGGAAUUUUGGACAAUGGGGGCAACCCUGAUCCAGCAAUGCCGCGUGAGUGAAGAAGGCCUUCGGGUUGUAAAGCUCUUUUGUCAGGGAAGAAACGGUGGUUCCUAAUACGGACUGCUAAUGACGGUACCUGAAGAAUAAGCACCGGCUAACUACGUGCCAGCAGCCGCGGUAAUACGUAGGGUGCAAGCGUUAAUCGGAAUUACUGGGCGUAAAGCGUGCGCAGGCGGUUUUAUAAGUCUGAUGUGAAAUCCCCGGGCUCAACCUGGGAACUGCAUUGGAGACUGUAAGGCUAGAGUGUGUCAGAGGGGGGUAGAAUUCCACGUGUAGCAGUGAAAUGCGUAGAUAUGUGGAGGAAUACCGAUGGCGAAGGCAGCCCCCUGGGAUAACACUGACGCUCAUGCACGAAAGCGUGGGGAGCAAACAGGAUUAGAUACCCGAGU
rnacentral:rRNA from 1 species